UAUUUUCCUUCUAUUCUCUAUUUAGUUGGAGAUCACAUUUCGAUUAAUGGCAACUUCUUCACCAACUAACACUAUAACAAGCUACUCCUCCAAGAAGGGUCCAAAUUAAGGCUAAAAUAUUUGAGAGUUUGGGGGAGAUUAUAUGGUCAAUUCUGGUUAAAAUCAAGAGCAGAAGCAUCAGAAAUACCAACAAAAACUCUGGCUCCACGUGUCCACCAAGUUCAUACACUUCUCUUAGCUAAUAAAUGUUAAAUUAUUAUACAAAGAUGGUAUAUUUAAUAGCAUGCCUUGAAGUGAAACUUUUUUUUUUCUUUAUUCCUGUUCAAUAAAUAAAUAAAGGUACCCUCUGUCUCGAAUUACUUUACAUGUUUGCUAAAACAAAAAAAAAAAAAAAAAAAAAUUGUCUCAAAAUAGUUGACGUAUUUAAAAAUUCAAGAGACAAUUCAUCACUUUAUUUGUAUUAAUUAAAGAGAAUAUAUUUAUUUAAUCAAAUAAAUAAGGUCAUUUUAGUUGUUUUACACCCCUUAUUGUUGUGCAAAAAACAAAUACGUCAGACAGAUGGAGUAUGCUGGUGAACAUGUGACGAUAAAAAGAAGUUUGGAUGAAUCCAUUUUGAUCCCUUAAUCGUCAAUGCUAGUGCUCAGCAAGUCUCUAGAUGCUCUAUGUUGUUGUUGAGCCUUUAAUUUGACUUGGACUAACGCACCAGCAAGUUUACCAAAUAUUUUAACUUCGUCUUUAAAGAAAGAUACAGACUAUAUAUCAUGAAUAAUUCCACAUUAUAUUAGUAAUUUAUCAUGUUAUCGUUUAGAUUACUGACUGUGAAUCUUAUAUGAGUUCUUCAAUCACUAUGGAAUUAUUAAUGAUAGUUAUGUCCACUUCUGCACUCAAUUAAUACAUUAUAUUGUUUAUAGAACUUUUUUAUAGAACCUUCCCUCACAUGAAAGAGAAAAAUGUAAAAUAAUUGAAAGCUCGAUCUCCAAUCAAAUGAUGGUAGUCAUUUUUAUGGACCCACCUUGUUUUGAUUGUGGCUGACAAAAAGAAAUGACGGAAUACAUAUACAUGCCCUUUAAAUAUUUCACUUUUCUCGUAUAGACAUCUAAAUUAAAAAAGGUACCUAUUGAAUCCUUUACUCCUUCAGAAAUGGUUUCAAUUGAGCUCAAUUCUCCGACAUGGCAGAUUGCUUGUACUCACGUUUGGGAGGCGCAUGAAAUAUCAUAGAACCAGCUUAUGUGGCACCUAAUGGAUCUUUUAUCCUCUUUUUAUACCCAAUUUCUUUAAAAAAAAACCCUAAUUCCCACUUUCUUCCUCUUUUUAUACUCAAUUCUUAAUAUCCACCAUUUUUGUCUACUAAAUUCUCCUUCUCCUCUUAAAUUUUUUUUUCAGCCUUUUCUCUUGCUCCGCUUAAACUCUCCUACUCUUAUUAAUUUCUUCUUCUUACUCGUUUUUAGUAGUAAUGUCCAAUUCAUCUUUUUCAUUGUCUUCAUCUUCUUCAAUUCCAAAAGGAGUAUGUUUAUGUGGGGUGAAAGCUGAAAUUAAGACCUCGUGGACACAACUCAACACUGGUCGGAGAUUCUUUUGCUGCAAAACUUCAAAGACGAGAGGUGGAUGCAAUUACUUUGAUUGGUAUGAUGAUGAAAUGCCUCCUCAAGCAAAGAGGGUGAUGUGAGAUUUAUUGAAAAAAGUCAAAUCAUUUGAAGAAGAGAGGAAUCGAUCAGGAAAAUUUAAAGUGAUAUGCGUUGGGGCGAUUAUGAUUUUGGCUACAUGGAAUUUCAUCAAGAAAUGUUCUUAGAUUUUGGCAAAUAUUGACUUAGAUUUCUUAUAUAUGGUACUGUUUCGAUUUGACUAAUUCUGAAAUAUAUUAAUUGUAUUGGGACUAUUUUGCUUUGACUUUCUUGUUGUAGUGGGAUUGUUGUGUAUGAAACAAUUAAGAAGGAAUGGAGAUAAGUUGUGAAA